GUUGAACGCUGGCGGCAGGCUUAACACAUGCAAGUCGAGCGGAAACGAUGAUAGCUUGCUAUCAGGCGUCGAGCGGCGGACGGGUGAGUAAUACUUAGGAAUCUACCUAGUAGUGGGGGAUAGCUCGGGGAAACUCGAAUUAAUACCGCAUACGACCUACGGGAGAAAGGGGGCAACUUGUUGCUCUCGCUAUUAGAUGAGCCUAAGUCGGAUUAGCUAGAUGGCGGGGUAACGGCCCACCAUGGCGACGAUCAGUAGCCGGUCUGAGAGGAUGAACGGCCACAUUGGGACUGAGAUACGGCCCAG
rnacentral:rRNA from 1 species